rnacentral:rRNA from 1 species
UGCUACCUACGGGGCGCAGCAGUAGGGAAUCUUCCACAAUGGGCGAAAGCCUGAUGGAGCAACGCCGCGUGGGUGAAGAAGGUCUUCGGAUCGUAAAACCCUGUUGUUAGAGAAGAAAGUGCGUGAGAGUAACUGUUCACGUUUCGACGGUAUCUAACCAGAAAGCCACGGCUAACUACGUGCCAGCAGCCGCGGUAAUACGUAGGCGGCAAGCGUUAUCCGGAUUUAUUGGGCGUAAAGAGAACGCAGACGGUCUUUUAAGUCUGAUGUGAAAGCCUUCGGCUUAACCGGAG